UAUUUCUCGUACCUUUUGCAUCAUGAUUUAGCUAGUACUACCCAAGCGAAGAGCACUUUAGUUUGGACCCCCGAAACUAGGUGAGCUACUCCAAGACAGCCUAUCAAUAGGGCGAACCCGUCUCUGUGGCAAAAGAGUGGGAAGAGCUUCGAGUAGAGGUGACAGACCUACCGAACCUAGUUAUAGCUGGUUGCCUGAGAAUUGGAUAGGAGUUCAGCCUCCAGGCUUCUUUAUAAACCUAGAGAGUUAGUCAAAGGGGGUACAGCCCCUUUGAAACAAGAUACAACUUUCCCAGGAGGGUAAAGAUCAUAAUUACUAAAGGUAAAUUAAUGCCUAAGUGGGCCUAAAAGCAGCCAUCCUUACAGAAAGCGUUACAGCUCAAGCAUUAUAUCCGGAUAACCCAAUCCUAACCCCCUUAGCACUAUCAGGCCGUCUCAUGCCUACAUGAGAGCGCACAUGCUAAUAUGAGUAACAAGAGAGGCCUCUCUCCUCGCACACGUGUAAAUCGGAACGGACCCCCACCGAAACUUAACGGCCCCAAACAAAGAGGGUAAUGAACUCUAACUGGAAAACCAUUCACCGUUAACCCCACACUGGUGUGCCCCCGGGGAAAGACUAAAAGAAAAAGAAGGAACUCGGCAAAUAAGCCUCGACUGUUUACCAAAAACAUCGCCUUUUGCAAGAAUAAAAGGUCGAGCCUGCCCAGUGACUAUAUGUUCAACGGCCGCGGUAUUUUAACCGUGCAAAGGUAGCGCAAUCACUUGUCUUUUAAAUGAAGACCUGUAUGAAUGGUAUUACGAGGGCUUAACUGUCUCCUUUUUCAGGUCAGUGAAAUUGAUCUCCCCGUGCAGAAGCGGGGAUAAGACCAUAAGACGAGAAGACCCUAUGGAGCUUUAAGACACUAAGCCAUAUCAAGUUAAAUACCCCCUAACAAGGGGCCAAACUUAUUGAAAUCAUUGGCCGUAUGUCUUCGGUUGGGGCGACCAUGGGGAAACAAAAAACCCCCACGUGGAAUGGGAGCACUCCUACAGUCAAGAGCCGCCACUCUAACAAACAGAAUUUCUGACCAAUAACUGAUCCGGCAACGCCGAUCAACGGACCAAGUUACCCUAGGGAUAACAGCGCAAUCCCCUUUUAGAGCCCCUAUCGACAAGGGGGUUUACGACCUCGAUGUUGGAUCAGGACAUCCCAAUGGUGCAG
rnacentral:rRNA from 1 species